UCUUGACAGCAAGUGCCUAACAGGGGGUCUGUCUAUAUACAUGUGGAUGACACAACAUCUGAAAUAACAAUGUAUAUGUAAUCCCCGUGAAAGCAGACAGAUGUUGUGCAGCAGCACUGAAGAGGUGACCCCGGGUUCGAGCUCUGAGCCCACAUAACCUGAUCGACUACAGAGUACAGACACGUAAUCCAUAGACAGCAGGAUCCUCCGUCAUCUUCUGUACUGCUCACUUCACACGGGUCUGAUGAUGUCCGGAAAAGUCUGUGUCCAGGAUCAAGCACUGCCACUGAUACUAGUGCUCAAACAGCUGUGUUCACAGACACAACACCGACUGGAGCUCAGCGCCAGCUGAAUAUCAGUGGAGGAGCAGACAGGAUCAGCUCUUCUGUGGGUUCAUCUGUCCUCUCCUGGAGCUCCAGCACUCCACAUCUAAGGGCCACACCUGCACUCUCACACCAUGGCCGAACCCCUCA